rnacentral:rRNA from 1 species
GGCGGCCGUAACAAUAACGGUCCUAAGGUAGCGAAAUUCCUUGUCAGGUAAGUUCUGACCCGCACGAAUGGCGUAACGAUCUGGGCACUGUCUCAACAACCCGCCCGGCGAAAUUGUAGUACCGGUGAAGAUGCCGGUUACCCGCGACUAGACGGAAAGACCCCAUGGAGCUUUACUGUAGCUUAAUGUUGGAUUUCGGUAUUCCAUGUACAGGAUAGGUGGGAGACUGGGAAGCAAGGGCGUCAGCUCUUGUGGAGUCAACGGUGGGAUACCACUCUUGGAAUGCUGGAAUUCUAACCUGCGCCGUGAAACCGGUCGGGGGACAUCGUUAGGUGGGCAGUUUGACUGGGGCGGUCGCCUCCGAAAGGGUAUCGGAGGCGCUCAAAGGU